UGCAGUCGAACGGCAGCAUGAUCUAGCUUGCUAGAUUGAUGGCGAGUGGCGAACGGGUGAGUAAUACAUCGGAACGUGCCCUGUAGUGGGGGAUAACUAGUCGAAAGAUUAGCUAAUACCGCAUACGACCUGAGGGUGAAAGUGGGGGACCGCAAGGCCUCAUGCUAUAGGAGCGGCCGAUGUCUGAUUAGCUAGUUGGUGAGGUAAAGGCUCACCAAGGCGACGAUCAGUAGCUGGUCUGAGAGGACGAUCAGCCACACUGGGACUGAGACACGGCCCAGACUCCUACGGGAGGCAGCAGUGGGGAAUUUUGGACAAUGGGGGCAACCCUGAUCCAGCAAUGCCGCGUGUGUGAAGAAGGCCUUCGGGUUGUAAAGCACUUUUGUCCGGAAAGAAAUCGCACUUACUAAUAUUAGGUGUGGAUGACGGUACCGGAAGAAUAAGGACCGGCUAACUACGUGCCAGCAGCCGCGGUAAUACGUAGGGUCCAAGCGUUAAUCGGAAUUACUGGGCGUAAAGCGUGCGCAGGCGGUUGUGCAAGACCGAUGUGAAAUCCCCGGGCUUAACCUGGGAAUUGCAUUGGUGACUGCACGGCUAGAGUGUGUCAGAGGGGGGUAGAAUUCCACGUGUAGCAGUGAAAUGCGUAGAGAUGUGGAGGAAAUACCGAUGGCGAAGGGCAGCCCCUG
rnacentral:rRNA from 1 species